GACGAACGCUGGCGGCGUGCUUAACACAUGCAAGUCGAACGCUGAAGCUCAGCUUUUGUUGGGUGGAUGAGUGGCGAACGGGUGAGUAACACGUGAGUAACCUGCCCCCUUCUUUGGGAUAACGCCCGGAAACGGGUGCUAAUACUGGAUAUUCACUGGUCUUCGCAUGGGGGUUGGUGGAAAGGGUUUUUCUGGUGGGGGAUGGGCUCGCGGCCUAUCAGCUUGUUGGUGGGGUGAUGGCCUACCAAGGCUUUGACGGGUAGCCGGCCUGAGAGGGUGACCGGUCACAUUGGGACUGAGAUACGGCCCAGACUCCUACGGGAGGCUGCAGUGGGGAAUAUUGCACAAUGGGCGCAAGCCUGAUGCAGCGACGCCGCGUGAGGGAUGGAGGCCUUCGGGUUGUGAACCUCUUUCGCUCAUGGUCAAGCCGCAACAAUGGUUGUGGUGAGGGUAGUGGGUAAAGAAGCGCCGGCUAACUACGUG
rnacentral:rRNA from 1 species